ensembl:snRNA U2 U2 spliceosomal RNA
AUCACUUCUCAGCCUUUUGGCUCAGAUCAAGUGUAGUAUAUCCCAGUGGAACCCAAAAUGGUGUAGCUUAAAUAUUUACCACAUGAACUAGAGAGUGUUGAUAUUGCUUAUAUUCUCUCUUUUGGUUUUGGGAUAUCUUCCAGAAUGAGCAGUAUAUAU